rnacentral:rRNA from 1 species
UUCGAUUCCGGUGAGGGUGCCUGAGAAACGGCUACCACAUCUAAGGAAGGCAGCAGGCGCGCAAAUUACCCAAUCCUAAUACAGGGAGGUAGUGACAAGAAAUAACAAUACAGAACCUUACGGUUUUGUAAUUGGAAUGAGUUAAGUAUAAACCCCUUAACAAGUAUCAAUUGGAGGGCAAGUCUGGUGCCAGCAGCCGCGGUAAUUCCAGCUCCAAUAGCGUAUAUUAAAGUUGUUGCAGUUAAAAAGCUCGUAGUUAAUCUUCUGUUAAUUUUUAUAUAUAAUAUCACGAUAUUUAUAUAAUAUUAACAUAAUUCAUAUUACUUUUUAGUAUAUGAAACUUUACUUUGAGAAAAUUAGAGUGCUUAAAGCAGGCUAUUGCCUUGAAUACUCCAGCAUGGAAUAAUAUUAAGGAUUUUUAUUCUUCUUAUUGGUUCUAGAAUAAAAAUGAUGAUUAAUAGGGACAGUUGGGGGCAUUUGUAUUUAACAGUCAGAGGUGAAAUUCUUAGAAUUGUUAAAG